rnacentral:rRNA from 1 species
GCCCCAGUAACGGCGAGUGAAGCGGCAGCAGCUCAAAUUUGAAAUCUGGCGCUGGCGCCCGAGUUGUAAUUUGCAGAGGAUGCUUUGGGCACAGCGCUAUCCGAGUCCCCUGGAAUGGGGCGCCACAGAGGGUGAGAGCCCCGUCUGGCUAGACGCGUGCCGCUGUAAAGCUCCUUCAACGAGUCGAGUAGUUUGGGAAUGCUGCUCAAAGCGGGAGGUAUAUGCCUUCUAAAGCUAAAUACACGCCAGAGACCGAUAGCGCACAAGUAGAGUGAUCGAAAGAUGAAAAGCACUUUGAAAAGAGGGUUAAACAGUACGUGAAAUUGCUAAGAGGGAAGCGCUUGCAACUAGACGUGGGCCUGUCCGUUCACGCCGCUCCCUGCGGCGGCACGCGGCGGGCCCAGGCCAGCAUCGGCCCGGCAGGGGACAAAGGUAUGGGGAACGUGGCCCCCCGGGGGUGUUAUAGCCCUGUGCACAAUGCCCUGCCGCCGGCCGAGGGCGCUUACAUGGAUGCUGGCGUAAUGGUUGCCAGCGACCCGUCUUGAAACACGGACCAAGGAGUCGUCCUUGCAUGCGAGUGUUUAGGUGGCAAGCCUAGGCGCGGAAUGAAAGUGAACGCGGGUGAGAGCCUGGGCGCAUCACCGGCCGAUCCUGACGUCUUCUGAUGGAUUUGAGCAGGAGCAUGCAGGGCCGGACCCGAAAGAAGGUGAACUAUGCCUGCGUAGGGUGAAGCCAGAGGAAACUCUGGUGGAGGCUCGCAGCGGUUCUGACGUGCAAAUCGAUCGUCAAACGUGGGCAUGGGGGCGAAAGAC